AGAGUUUGAUCCUGGCUCAGGACGAACGCUGGCGGCGUGCUUAACACAUGCAAGUCGAACGGUGAACCUGCUUCGGUGGGGGAUCAGUGGCGAACGGGUGAGUAACACGUGGGCAACCUGCCCUCAGCUCUGGGAUAACUCCAAGAAAUUGGGGCUAAUACUGGAUAUGACCGCUGACCGCAUGGUCUGGUGGUGGAAAGAUUUAUCGGCUGGGGAUGGGCCCGCGGCCUAUCAGCUUGUUGGUGGGGUAGUGGCCUACCAAGGCGACGACGGGUAGCCGGCCUGAGAGGGUGACCGGCCACACUGGGACUGAGACACGGCCCAGACUCCUACGGGAGGCAGCAGUGGGGAAUAUUGCGCAAUGGGCGAAAGCCUGACGCAGCGACGCCGCGUGGGGGAUGACGGCCUUCGGGUUGUAAACCUCUUUCAGCAGGGACGAAGCGAAAGUGACGGUACCUGCAGAAGAAGCACCGGCCAACUACGUGCCAGCAGCCGCGGUAAUACGUAGGGUGCAAGCGUUGUCCGGAAUUAUUGGGCGUAAAGAGCUCGUAGGCGGUUUGUUGCGUCGGCUGUGAAAACCUGAGGCUCAACCUCAGGCCUGCAGUCGAUACGAGCAGACUAGAGUGUUGCAGGGGAGACUGGAAUUCCUGGUGUAGCGGUGAAAUGCGCAGAUAUCAGGAGGAACACCGGUGGCGAAGGCGGGUCUCUGGGCAACAACUGACGCUGAGGAGCGAAAGCGUGGGGAGCGAACAGGAUUAGAUACCCUAGUAGUCC
rnacentral:rRNA from 1 species